GUGCCAGCAGCCGCGGUAAUACGUAGGGGGCGAGCGUUGUCCGGAAUUACUGGGCGUAAAGGGUGCGUAGGCGGAUACGCAAGUCCGAUGUGAAAUGCCUCGGCUUAACCGAGGAGCUGCAUUGGAAACUGUGUAUCUAGAGUGCAGGAGAGGGAAGCGGAAUUCCUAGUGUAGCGGUGAAAUGCGUAGAUAUUAGGAGGAACACCAGUGGCGAAGGCGGCUUCCUGGACUGUAACUGACGCUGAGGCACGAAAGCUGGGGGAGCAAACAGGAUUAGAUACCCUGGUAGUCCCAGCCGUAAACGAUGGGUACUAGGUGUUGCAGCUUAUGACAGCUGCAGUGCCGUAGUUAACGCAAUAAGUACCCCGCCUGGGGAGUACGGCCGCAAGGCUGAAACUCAAAGAAAUUGACGG
rnacentral:rRNA from 1 species